rnacentral:rRNA from 1 species
GACGAACGCUGGCGGAGUGCCUAAUACAUGCAAGUCGAACGAGUGGAGGACGGGUGAGUAAUGCUUGGGAAUCGGGCAUAUGGAGGGGGAUAACGACGGGAAACUAUCGCUAAUACCGCGUACAAUAGGAUGAGCCCAAGUGUGAUUAGGUAGUGGGGGGGGUAAUGGCCCACCAAGCCGACGAUCUCUAGAUGGUCUGAGAGGAUGACCAGCCACACCGGUACUGAGACACGGCCCGGACUCCUACGGGAGGCAGCAGUGGGGAAUAUUGCGCAAUGGGGGCAACCUGACGCAGCCAUGCCGCGUGAAUGAAGAAGGCCUUCGGGUUGUAAAGUUCUUUCGGUGACGAGGCGUUAAUCACAGAAGAAGCACCGGCUAACUCCGUGCCAGCAGCCGCGGUAAUAC